AACGAACGCUGGCGGCAUGCCUAACACAUGCAAGUCGAACGAGACCUUCGGGUCUAGUGGCGCACGGGUGCGUAACGCGUGGGAACCUGCCCUUAGGUUCGGAAUAACUCCCCGAAAGGGGUGCUAAUACCGGAUAAUGUCUUCGGACCAAAGAUUUAUCGCCUUUGGAUGGGCCGGCGUUGGAUUAGCUAGUUGGUAGGGUAAAAGCCUACCAAGGCGACGAUCCAUAGCUGGUCUGAGAGGAUGAUCAGCCACACUGGGACUGAGACACGGCCCAGACUCCUACGGGAGGCAGCAGUGGGGAAUAUUGGACAAUGGGCGAAAGCCUGAACCAGCAAUGCCGCGUGAGUGAUGAAGGCCUUAGGGUUGUAAAGCUCUUUUACCCGGGAUGAUAAUGACAGUACCGGGAGAAUAAGCUCCGGCUAACUCCGUG
rnacentral:rRNA from 1 species